rnacentral:misc_RNA from 1 species
UACUUAUUUUCCUCCCAACCCAAAAAUAGCUUGCUUUUUUGUCAUGAAAAGGCUUUUCUUGUCUUUUACUCCAUCAUAUGCAUUAUAUCAUCCUCUGGGGACAUUCAGCGGCAAUAGAAUCAAUGUCUGAUACCUUGUACUUUUCAAAGGAAACAAAUGUUAUAUAAAGUUGUAGAAGUUUCUGCAUCCUUUUCAGUGAGAUCUUUUUGGUGCCCCAAUAAAAUUCAAAGUCAAGGUAACAACACAUACAUGUGACAAGGUAGGAUCGCUUUAAGAAGUGUCCAAGCCAUGGAAAGCUUUUGCCUUUUGCCCCCACUACCAUCAAAAUCCAAUUAAACUAGGGUAACCAACUCCUUAGUGGAAGCUCCUGUGAGAAAUCCAAAGACUUGUGUAAUUUCAGCUAAAUGAAAAUCUUCACCAAUGUCAUCAAGAUCUCGCUCUCCUGUUCUACCAGCUUAUAUCAGGAAAGACCUGAAAAGGAGG